GACGUAGGUGGCGAACGUUAUCCGGAAUUAUUGGGCGUAAAGGAUGCGUAGAUGGUGUAGUAAGUUAUCGGUGGCAAAUCGAGGCUCAACCUCGUGGAAGUCGGUAAUACUGCUAUGCUAGAGGAUAGGAGAGGUUAACGGAACUCCCUGUGGAGCGGUGAAAUGCGUAGAUAUAGGGAAGAACACCAAUCAGGCGAAGGCAGUUAACUAUUCUAUUCCUGACAUUGAGGCAUGAAGGCGUGGGGAGCAAAACGG
rnacentral:rRNA from 1 species